UAGGGAAUCUUCCACAAUGGACGCAAGUCUGAUGGAGCAACGCCGCGUGAGUGAAGAAGGUUUUCGGAUCGUAAAGCUCUGUUGUUGGUGAAGAAGGAUAGAGGCAGUAACUGGUCUUUAUUUGACGGUAAUCAACCAGAAAGUCACGGCUAACUACGUGCCAGCAGCCGCGGUAAUACGUAGGUGGCAAGCGUUGUCCGGAUUUAUUGGGCGUAAAGCGAGCGCAGGCGGAAUGAUAAGUCUGAUGUGAAAGCCCUCGGCUCAACCGUGGAACUGCCUCGGAAACUGUCAUUCUUGAGUGCAGAAGAGGAGAGUGGAAUUCCAUGUGUAGCGGUGGAAUGCGUAGAUAUAUGGAAGAACACCAGUGGCGAAGGCGGCUCUCUGGUCUGCAACUGACGCUGAGGCUCGAAAGCAUGGGUAGCGAACAGG
rnacentral:rRNA from 1 species